AUUAAGAUGUCUGAAGAAUUAGGUGAUAAAUUGUAAGUUUAUUUAUGAAUAAUAUUCUCUUAAUA
rnacentral:tRNA from 1 species